rnacentral:lncRNA from 1 species
AUGGUGCUAUGGUUCCUAAGAUUGACAGUUGGCACUCCUGCAUCAUGCUUUAAAUCAAAACAAACAAUCCGUGUCCUAACCUCAAAGUUUGCUCUUCUUAUUUGCUGUUCUACAGUCCUUUUACGAAGAACCCAGUUUUAUCUUAUCAAUUCCAAUCGACACUUGAAAGGAGAAGUAUAUGUGAUCCAUUUUUUAAUAAACACUGUCUACUCUAAGGGUAACCUACUUUCCAAGUACAUCAUGAGAUGUCACAGAUUUGAGGUACCUUUUUCGGAGCCUGCUAAGAAAGCGACUCACUCCGAUAGGUUUGAACCGAAUACUGAAACUGGAAUAUCCUCCGCAUCUUUCCAAGACUCAACAACUGUCGAUUCCUCGCAUUCAAGUUCAACAGAUGAGGGUACUGUUUGUUGCACAAAGCUGAACUCCAGUCAGAGACAUUGUGAAACCCCGAAAAAUUUCUGUCAAAAAUGGGUGUGUCUGACGUCAUAUCAACAUUGCUGA